GAGGGGUGCAAACGUUAUUCGGAAUCAUUGGGCGUAAAGGGUGCGUAGGUGGUAUAUUAAGUCAACUGUUAAAUUUCUCGGCCUAACCGAGAGCCUGCAGUAGAUACUGAUAUACUAGAGGGUGGAAGAGAGAAGUGGAAUUCUCGGAGUAGCGGUAAAAUGCGUAGAUCUCGAGAGGAACACCAAUGGCGAAGGCAGCUUCUUGGUCCAUACCUGACACUGAGGCACGAAAGCGUGGGGAGCAAACAGGAUUAGAUACCCUGGUAGUCCACGCCGUAAACGAUGAUCACUAGACGUUAGUUCCGUUUUACGGGAUUAGUGUCGUAGCUAACGCGAUAAGUGAUCCGCCUGGGGACUACGGUCGCGAGACUA
rnacentral:rRNA from 1 species